rnacentral:rRNA from 1 species
AGCAGUAGGGAAUCUUCCACAAUGGGCGAAAGCCUGAUGGAGCAAUGCCGCGUGAGUGAAGAAGGAUUUCGGUUCGUAAAACUCUGUUGCAAGGGAAGAACAAGUAGCGUAGUAACUGGCGCUACCUUGACGGUACCUUGUUAGAAAGCCACGGCUAACUACGUGCCAGCAGCCGCGGUAAUACGUAGGUGGCAAGCGUUGUCCGGAAUUAUUGGGCGUAAAGCGCGCGCAGGUGGUUCCUUAAGUCUGAUGUGAAAGCCCACGGCUCAACCGUGGAGGGUCAUUGGAAACUGGGGAACUUGAGUACAGAAGAGGAUAGUGGAAUUCCAAGUGUAGCGGUGAAAUGCGUAGAGAUUUGGAGGAACACCAGUGGCGAAGCGACUAUCUGGUCUGUAACUGACACUGAG